rnacentral:misc_RNA from 1 species
CUUGGUGUUUGAGCAGAAGUUUCUGUCUGGCCCUUUUCAAUGAUGGGUCGUAAUAGGUAUUGAAAUUGUCCAACCCAAGAACCCCAUCUCCUCUCUUUUUCAAAGCCAGCGAGCAGUGCGAUCCAACAAACCCAGCAGCGCCAGUGACCAAUACAGACAACCCAUUGGGCCUGCGAGGGGUGGAGGAGUGACGGACUUGUUUCUCCCAGGCAGCGCCACCAACAGCGGAGGAAGAAGAAGCAAAGAUAGCAGUCGAGAGGAAGUUGUGGUGGUGGAGAUGAUGAGGAUUAUUAUGAUCAGAAAGAGGAGGACAAUUGAUGGUGAAGAAAAGAACAAGAACAAGAGCAAUAAGGAGAGUGGCACGAAAGAGGAGCUUAGAGGAGGCAUUAA